rnacentral:antisense_RNA from 1 species
CUUCACCGAACCGAGCCACAGCGGCUGGUCCUCCGAGCGCUCCUGGCCGUACGUGGCGAGGAGCGCCUGCGCCUC